rnacentral:ribozyme from 12 species
UUUUUUUUUUUUUUUUUUUUUUUCCCACCUAACAUUUGAAAUUCACAGUAAAACUGACUGAAGUUUUGAAUUC